rnacentral:rRNA from 1 species
AUUCCAAUCGAACUCGGAGAUAGCUGGUUCUCCCCGAAAUAGCUUUAGGGCUAGCCUCGAUUUAGAUUAACGGGGGUAGAGCACUGAAUGGGCUAGGGGGCCACAAAGCUUACCGAACCCUAUCAAACUUCGAAUACCGGAUAAUUGAUGAUCGGGAGUCAGACAGUGUGAGAUAAGUUUCAUUGUCGAAAGGGAAACAGCCCAGAUCUACGACUAAGGUCCCAAAGUUCAAGUUAAGUGGAAAAGGAUGUGCAAUUGCGCAGACAACCAGGAUGUUGGCUUAGUAGCAGCCAUUCAUUCAAAGAGUGCGUAAUAGCUCACUGGUCGAGUGAUUGUGCGCCGAAAAUGUAACGGGGCUAAACUUGACACCGAAGUCUAGGCAGAAGGAAACUUCUGGGUAGGGGAGCAACGUGUACGGGCAGAAGCAGAAGCGGAAGCGACUGUGGACUGUACAGGAGAGAGAAUGCCGGCAUGAGUAGCGAGAGCAAAGUGAGAAUCUUUGCCGUCGAAAGCCUAAGGUUUCCUGAGGAAGGCUCGUCCUCUCAGGGUAAGUCGGGACCUAAGCCGAGGACAAUAGUCGUAGGCGAUGGACAAUCGGUUAAUAUUCCGAUACCGCCGAGCAACCGGAUGCAGUGACACAGAAGGAUAGGCAGAGCGUGGCGAUGGUAGACCACGUCCAAGCAGUGAGGCUGUUGUGUAGUGAAGUACGCACAACGGAAGGCUGGGCUGUGAUGGGGAACGAUUACGAUCGGUAAGCUGCUGAAUUCACGCUGGCGAGAAAAGCUGCUACGAAGCGAAGGCGCCCGUACCGCAAACCGACACAGGUAGGCGAGGAGAGAAUCCUAAGACGAGCGGGAGAACCCUUGUUAAGGAACUCGGCAAAAUGACUCCGUAACUUAGGGAGAAGGAGUGCCCAGGAAUGGGCCGCAGAGAAUAGACCCAAGCGACUGUUUACCAAAAACACAGGUCUGUGCGAAGUAGAGAUACGACGUAUACGGGCUGACACCUGCCCAGUGCCGGAAGGUUAAGGGGAAAUGUUAGGGCAACCGAAGCAUGGAACUUAAGCCCCGGUGAACGGCGGCCGUAACUAUAACGGUCCUAAGGUAGCGAAAUUCCUUGUCGGGUAAGUUCCGACCCGCACGAAUGGUGUAACGAUUUGGGUACUGUCUCAACAAGGGACCCGGCGAAAUUGUAGUAUGUGUGAAGAUGCACAUUACCCGCGAUAGGACGGAAAGACCCCGUAGAGCUUUACUGUAGUUUAACAUUGGAUUCCGGUAACAUAUGCACAGGAUAGGUGGGAGGCGGAGAAGCAGUGAUUUCGGUUGCUGCAGAGCCGACGUUGGGAUACCACUCUUGUGUUACUGGGGUUCUAACCUGUGGCCGUGAUCCGGCACAGGAACAGUGUUAGAUGGGCAGUUUGACUGGGGCGGUCGCCUCCAAAAGAGUAACGGAGGCGUCCAAAGGUUCCCUCAGAAUGGUUGGAAACCAUUCGAAGAGUACAAAGGCAGAAGGGAGCCUGACUGCGAGACCGACAGGUCGAGCAGGGACGAAAGUCGGGCUUAGUGAUCCGGCGGUAUAGAGUGGAAUUGCCGUCGCUCAACGGAUAAAAGCUACCUCGGGGAUAACAGGCUUAUCUCCCCCAAGAGUCCACAUCGACGGGGAGGUUUGGCACCUCGAUGUCGGCUCGUCGCAUCCUGGGGCUGGAGCAGGUCCCAAGGGUUCGGCUGUUCGCCGAUUAAAGCGGCACGCGAGCUGGGUUCAGAACGUCGUGAGACAGUUUGGUCUCUAUCCUCUGCGCUCGUUGGAAUCCUGAGGAGGCCUGCCCAUAGUACGAGAGGACCUGGGUGGACGAACCUCUGGUAUGCCGGUUGUCGCGCCAGCGGCACGGCCGGUUGGCUACGUUCGGGAGGGAUAACCGCUGAAAGCAUCUAAGCGGGAAGCCUGCUCCAAGAUUAGGAUUCCAUGGAUCUUCGAGAUCCUGUAGCCCGCAUGUUGAACACGUGUUUGAUAGGCCGGAGGUGGAAGCCCCGUGAGGGGUGGAGCCGACCGGUACUAACGGGCGACGGCGACACAAC